UACGUAGGGGGCGAGCGUUGUCCGGAUUUAUUGGGCGUAAAGAGCGUGUAGGCUGUUCGGUAAGUCUGCCGUGAAAACCUGAGGCUCAACCUCGGGCGUGCGGUGGAUACUGCCGGGCUAGAGGACGGUAGAGGCGAGUGGAAUUCCCGGUGUAGCGGUGAAAUGCGCAGAUAUCGGGAGGAACACCCAGUAGCGAAGGCAGCUCGCUGGGACGUUACUGACGCUGAGGUGCGAAAGCGUGGG
rnacentral:rRNA from 1 species